GAACAACGCUGCGGAGGCUACACAUGCGUGAACGCGCUCGGGUGACGCGGGGGGUUAAUACGCGUGGGAACGUGCCCUUAUCUACUGAAUAGCCUCUGGAAAGCGGAGAGUAAUACCGUAUACGCCCUUUGGGGGAAAGAUUAUCGGAGAAGGAUCGGCCCGCGUUAGAUUAGGUAGUUGGUGGGAGUAAUGGCCUACCAAGCCUACGAUCUAUAGCUGGUUAAAGAGGAUGAUCAGCAACACUGGGACUGAGACACGGCCCAGACUCCUACGGGAGGCAGCAGUGGGGAAUCUUAGACCAAUGGGGGCAACCCUGAUCUAACCAUGCCGCGUGAAUGAUGAAGGCCUUAGGGUCGUAAAGACUACUUUCGCCUGAUGAUGAUACUGACAGUAGCAGGUAAAGAAAACCCGGGUAACUCCAUGACACCAGACACGGAAAAUAAGGAGGGGGAUAGCAUUAUUCGGAAUACUUGGCGUAAAGCGCGCGUGGC
rnacentral:rRNA from 1 species